UACGAAGGGGGCAAGCGUUGCUCGGAUUUAUUGGGCGUAAAGGGUGUGUAGGUGGUCCUACAAGUUAGAUGUGAAAGCCCCGGGCUUAACCCGGGAACUGCAUUUAAAACUGUAGGACUUGAGGAUCACAGAGGUAAGCAGAAUUUCCAGUGUAGAGGUGAAAUUCGUAGAUAUUGGAAAGAAUACCAACGGCGUAGGCAGCUUACUGGGUGACUCUUGACACUGAGGCACGAAAGCGUGGGGAGCAAACAGG
rnacentral:rRNA from 1 species